CAAGGUGUCAUCUUGCUGCUUUGGGUAGAGUCCAGAGAACGUACCAGCAGGCCAACUCUGUUCACAGAAUCUCGAAUGAAGAAAACUGUGACAGUCACAAAGGGGGUGAGCAGCUCCUCGGAGGAUGAGAAGCCUGGCCAGGAGAUGGACCUAAAAAGGAACUGGAGGACACACUGGAAGUAGGACCUAUCUGGAAGAAAACGGUCACUGUGGAUGUGCCCUUAACUCUAUAGCAUGGCUCCACUUCCAGCCCAGCUCUACUUGCCUGUCCACUAGGAUGUGAGAAAGCACCUUCAUGUUCCGUCAGCCACGGCAGAGAGCUGAGCUACUACAAACCACCACAAAGGUCUACACUCUCAAAGUACAGGAGCAUGUUGACCUCCAAGAGUCUCUACCCAGCAACUGACUCAAAUAGAUACAGAAAUUCACAACCAGUGUAUGGAAAUUUGGGACUCUUAUGGAACAAUAGGGGGAAGGGUUGCAGGCCCCAAAGAGGAUAGGAACUCCACCAGAAGACCAACAGAGUCAACUAACCUGGACCCUUGGAGCUCUCAGAGACUGAACCACCACCAACCAAAGAACCUACACAAGCUGGAGCUAGGCCUCCCCGCACAUAUGUAGCAGGUGUGCAGCUUGAUCUUCAGGUUUUAUUCAAUUUAAUGCUAUAUGUGAGUUAGUGUUUUGCCUGCACCUAUGAGUGUGCCUCAAGCAUACCUUGUGCCCAUGGAAGCCAGAAGAAGGCAUUGGGUCCCCUCGGGCUAGAGUGAUAGAUGGCUCUAAGGGCCAUGUAAGUGCUGAGAACUGAAUCAUCUGCAGGAUCAACAAACGCUCUUAAACACUGAGUCACGUCUCCAGGCCAUCUGUGAAGUUUUGACUGUGCUUACAGUACUAGACGUGCAUUCUCUCCUAAGAUGCAGGCCUCACAUCCCAACCUGAGGUAACAGGUUGUAUUAUUAUUGGACCAGCAGGUAAUAAUAUACAAAUUUGUUGAUAUUCGACUGGUGAUUAGAGCCGCAGAAUGAAGGCCUAACAAUGAUCCAUCAGUAAGAGCAGGAGCUGCAGAAUGACCAUAAUUGACAUGCUAUCUGGGAUGGAGGAAGUUUUACAAGGUCCCACCACUGGAUGAAGAGCGAC
ensembl:lncRNA